rnacentral:rRNA from 1 species
AUUGAACGCUGGCGGUAUGCUUAACACAUGCAAGUCGAACGGAAACGAUGGAAGCUUGCUUCCAGGCGUCGAGUGGCGGACGGGUGAGUAACGCGUAGGAAUCUGCCCAGUAGUGGGGGACAACUCGGGGAAACCCGAGCUAAUACCGCAUAAUCCCUACGGGGAAAAGGAGGCCUCUUCUUGAAAGCUUUCGCUAUUGGAUGAGCCUGCGUGAGAUUAGCUAGUUGGUAGGGUAAAGGCCUACCAAGGCGACGAUCUCUAGCUGGUCUGAGAGGACGAUCAGCCACACUGGGACUGAGACACGGCCCAGACUCCUACGGGAGGCAGCAGUGGGGAAUAUUGGACAAUGGGGGCAACCCUGAUCCAGCAAUACCGCGUGUGUGAAGAAGGCCUUAGGGUUGUAAAGCACUUUCAGCAGUGAAGAAAAGCUUAAGGUUAAUACCCUUGAGUGUUGACGUUAACUGCACAAGAAGCACCGCUAACU